CAAGGAGCGGGUAUCAGGCGCUUCCCCCGAAUGCCCAUGACACCUUGCUUAGCCACGCCCCCACGGGACCUCAGCAGUGACAAACAUUAAGCCAUAUGCGAAAGCUUGACUUAGUUAUAGCUAAGAGGGCCGGUAAAACUCGUGCCAGCCACCGCGGUUAUACGAGGGGCCCAAGUUGAUAAGCUACCGGCGUCGAGCGUGGUUAGGACGAAAAUUACACUAGAGCCAAACACCUUCAAGGCUGUUAUACGCAACCGAAGACAGGAAGUACAACCACGAAAGUGGCUUUAUCUGGUUUUAACCCACGAAAGCUAGGGGACAAACGGGGAUUAGACACCCUCCUAUGCCUAGCCAUAAACAUUGAUGGCCCAAAACAUACGUCAUCCGCCCGGGGACUACGAGCAACAGCUUAAAACCCGAAGGACUUGGCGGUGCUUUAGACCCACCUAGAGGAGCCUGUUCUGGAACCGAUAACCCCCGUUCAACCUCACCCUUCCUUGUUCAUCCA
rnacentral:rRNA from 1 species